UACGGAGGGUCCAAGCGUUAUCCGGAAUCAUUGGGUUUAAAGGGUCCGUAGGCGGUUUUGUAAGUCAGUGGUGAAAGCCCAUCGCUCAACGGUGGAACGGCCAUUGAUACUGCAAGACUUGAAUUAUUAGGAAGUAACUAGAAUAUGUAGUGUAGCGGUGAAAUGCUUAGAGAUUACAUGGAAUACCAAUUGCGAAGGCAGGUUACUACUAAUGGAUUGACGCUGAUGGACGAAAGCGUGGGGAGCAAACAGG
rnacentral:rRNA from 1 species